rnacentral:rRNA from 1 species
AUUGAACGCUGGCGGCAGGCCUAACACAUGCAAGUCGAGCGGUAGCACAGGAGAGCUUGCUCUCCGGGUGACGAGCGGCGGACGGGUGAGUAAUGUCUGGGAAACUGCCUGAUGGAGGGGGAUAACUACUGGAAACGGUAGCUAAUACCGCAUAACGUCGCAAGACCAAAGUGGGGGACCUUCGGGCCUCAUGCCAUCAGAUGUGCCCAGAUGGGAUUAGCUAGUAGGUGGGGUAAUGGCUCACCUAGGCGACGAUCCCUAGCUGGUCUGAGAGGAUGACCAGCCACACUGGAACUGAGACACGGUCCAGACUCCUACGGGAGGCAGCAGUGGGGAAUAUUGCACAAUGGGCGCAAGCCUGAUGCAGCCAUGCCGCGUGUAUGAAGAAGGCCUUCGGGUUGUAAAGUACUUUCAGCGAGGAGGAAGGCAUUAAGGUUAAUAACCUUAGUGAUUGACGUUACUCGCAGAAGAAGCACCGGCUAACUCCGUGCCAGCAGCCGCGGUAAUACGGAGGGUGCAAGCGUUAAUCGGAAUUACUGGGCGUAAAGCGCACGCAGGCGGUUUGUUAAGUCAGAUGUGAAAUCCCCGGGCUCAACCUGGGAACUGCAUUUGAAACUGGCAAGCUUGAGUCUUGUAGAGGGGGGUAGAAUUCCAGGUGUAGCGGUGAAAUGCGUAGAGAUCUGGAGGAAUACCGGUGGCGAAGGCGGCCCCCUGGACAAAGACUGACG